GGUUGUGGCUCAGUGGUAAAGUGUUUGCCUAGCAUGAGUGAGGCACUGGGUUCGAUUCUCAGCACCA
rnacentral:tRNA from 1 species